UGUCCAAAAGUACUUUGCUCCUUGUAAGUCUGAAAGUCCUUGGAAGGAAUUGAAUUUCAUGUGCAGCAUCAAGAGAAGAAUGUUCCUCUCAAUGUUCUUUCUCUUCCUUCUGCAUUGCUACUGUUUUAUAGUUAAUGAUUUCUAAUUUGGUUCCUUCCAGACGUAAUAAGUUCAGUGAUCUGAACUUAUAAUCUUUUACUUCUUUGUGGGGUUUUAAUGUAUUUUAUAUCAUAUAUAUAUAUGUGUGUGUGUGUGUGUGUGUGAAUCUCAGCCAUCUCCACUGUUUUUAUUGCUUUUAUUUUUUCAGAAAAAAGCACAGAUGGUGGAUUUUUGGUUUUACGUAGAUUUUCGUUUCAGAAUGUGCACAAGAAGCUGACAUCCCAUCCUUCUUGGGAACAGCUACAGCAAAAUGCUCAGCUCGGUGAUAGCUGUGAGAACACCAAUCUUCACCCGUCCUUGGGCUGCUAGAAGGAGGGACCCUGAGGCCAGAAGCAGGUACCCAGUGGAGCAAGACAUGGCACACAGGAGAAACCUUCUUGAGGGCUGACUGGGAAGGAUUGCAGUAGCUGCAAGCCCAGAAUGUCUCCUAACUCCAUCCCAC
rnacentral:lncRNA from 1 species